GAACUUAAAAGAAAGUAAAAGAAACUCCAUUAUAAAAAACAAAAACCCUGGAAAGUGACAUUAGAAUACUACAAAGGGGAAGAUAUUUGAAAAUAUCGACAUAGAACCACCUGAGAAAACCCAGCCUCCUCCUUGCUCGGGAGAUGGGAAAGCAGAGGAGCUACUCCGGGACUCAGAGAUGGCCGGGCAAGGGGGCAGGGAUGACCACAGAUGCUCCGUCCUGAAAGGAGACCCCCCUCGACAUCUCCAACAGGGUGACGGACAAGCUACCCAGGUGCCCAAUCUCUCUACAGGUUCAGCCCUUUCAAGAGAAGGCCGAAAAUAGAGAUGGAAUUAUUUCGCAGUUCGGUGUCUUCCUACGAAGGAAGAGAAA